CAGAUGCUAUGGUCAUGGACGAAAAGGUCAAGGAAAGCUUUGUGCUGGACACAGCUUCUGCCAUCUGCAACUCCGAUGCCCACUAUAAGGACCACCCCAAAUACUGGUGCCGAGGCUAUUUCCGGACUAUUGCAACAUCAUCGCCUUCACCCCCAACAGCACUGACCGCGUGGCCCUGAGGGACACAGGAAACCAGCUUAUUGUCACUGUGUCCUGCCUGACCAAGGAGGAUACGGGCUGGUACUGGUGCAGUAUCCAGCGGGACUUUGCCAGGGAUGACAUGGAUUUUACAGAGCUCGUUGUCACUGACAACAGAAGAGCCCUCGCCAACAAUUUUUGGUCUGGGAGAGACGUAUCAGCAACAAGAACAGAAGCUGCAGUUCUUCCAAAGUUGUCCACAAGGCAGAUCACUCCAGGAUGACCAUUCUCAUCAUUUGCGUGCUGAGCACGGCUUUGGGGAUCAUCUCUAUAAUCAGUCAUUUGUCCAGAAGAAGGAGAGGUCAGAUGAGUAGAAGGGGUAAAGGCCUAGCCAGAAGCCAGAAAAGCAGCCAAACUUCCUCUGUGAUUCCCCACACUUCCGUAGACGACUCUUUGAAGCCCCUCGCUCAUGUCCUGACUCCAAAGGCAAUGGCUCAUACUGAACAGAUGGGACUGAAGAUUUCUUUUAUUUAGUUGAAAAAUAAAAUGAUGCUACAAUAGA